rnacentral:lncRNA from 1 species
CAGAAAGUAAACAUUGUGAUCCUGGUGAUAGAAUUAUGAAUUAUUUCACUAAGAUUGGCAGGCAUUUUGUGACAAAAUAGAACAAAACAGACAAACAACUGAUUUGCAAAAGGAUGUAAUAGAAGAAAUCUGUCGACAAACUGUAAGUAUUGAUUAUUUAUUUAUUUAUUUAAUAUUGAUCACGUAGGAUUAAUUGUAGUAUAUAUAUUACUCAAACCUAAAAACUCUGUGUUGAAUAUGUUGUGUCACAAAUAACAUGUGAUUUGACACAGGUAGAUUAGAUUCAUUUAAUUAAGGAAUUCAGUGGCAUAAACCUAUCUAUUAUUCUUUCAAAUUUCUAAUAAUGUUGGAUUAAAAAUCCACUUUUUCUAAAAAAAGGUUUAAGCUUUUGAACUGUCAACUGACUGAAGGGCUGACGUGUUUAGUACUAACUCAUAAAUCUCAUAAAAAUUCUUUUUUAAAAAAGGUAGUGCCUUGUUUAAUCACGAUGUCUGAGGAGUGGUAUAGACAUGUUUGUGAAAUAUUGUUUUCUGCUAUUUAUAACUUGUUCUUUUUCUACUACCUUGUCCUAGGUCAUACUUUUUGAUUGUUACUAGCAAAACUGCC